rnacentral:misc_RNA from 1 species
GUAUUUGUUUUAUAGGCAAUAAAGCCCAUUGAUUACAUUCUUAACAUACAUUUGGGGUAUAUGAAAACGUAGACCUUUAAAAUUGAAAGACAAUUGACAAGGAAAGCUGACAUUGCGCACAGCAGAUCCUCUAUCCGAGUUCCCUCGAGUAUUUGCUCUCCAAUUUAAAAAGACUACAAAAGGUGCACAGGUGGAGAAGUAAAUAUGGAAAGGCGUGCACUUGCUCCUAAGAACCAGCAACAACCUCUACCAAGUUUAUUCAAUAAUGAUCCUUCCGCAGGUUCACCUACGGAAA